GAUGAACGCUGGCGGCGUGCCUAACACAUGCAAGUCGAGCGAUUCUCUUCGGAGAAGAGCGGCGGACGGGUGAGUAACGCGUGGGCAACCUGCCCUGUACACACGGAUAACAUACCGAAAGGUAUGCUAAUACGAGAUAAUAUGCUUUUAUCGCAUGGUAGAAGUAUCAAAGCUUUUGCGGUACAGGAUGGACCCGCGUCUGAUUAGCUAGUUGGUAAGGUAACGGCUUACCAAGGCGACGAUCAGUAGCCGACCUGAGAGGGUGAUCGGCCACAUUGGAACUGAGACACGGUCCAAACUCCUACGGGAGGCAGCAGUGGGGAAUAUUGCACAAUGGGCGAAAGCCUGAUGCAGCAACGCCGCGCGAGCGAUGAAGGCCUUCGGGUCGUAAAGCUCUGUCCUCAAGGAAGAUAAUGACGGUACUUGAGGAGGAAGCCCCGGCUAACUACGUGCCAGCAGCCGCCGUAACAC
rnacentral:rRNA from 1 species